rnacentral:lncRNA from 1 species
GCAAAGAGGAAUCAACAAAGGUAUAAUUUCUCAACUCACUUUGUUUUGAGUUGAGUCUUGGUUCACCCAACUACUAGGCUUUGAAUUUCAUGGUUAAUGUUUUGUUUUUAAGUGCAUACAAGCAUGAUUCCACCUUUAAUUUGUUAAUUGCAUGCUAUAGAUGUUGCUUAAAUGAACAUGUUUUUCACAAAAUUUCCUUCACUACUCACACUUAUUUUUCGCCCCUCUAGGUUUUAGUGCUGAACUUUCGUGU